GAUGAACGCUGGCGGCGUGCUUAACACAUGCAAGUCGAACGAGAAGUGAAGACGGAAACCUUCGGGCGGAAGGCUUUAUUUCGAGUGGCGGACGGGUGAGUAACGCGUGGGUAACCUGCCUCAUACAGGGGGAUAACAGUUGGAAACGACUGUUAAUACCGCAUAAGACCACAGCACCGCAUGGUGCGGGGGUAAAAACUCCGGUGGUAUGAGAUGGACCCGCGUUCGAUUAGCCAGUUGGCGGGGUAACGGCCCACCAAAGCGACGAUCGAUAGCCGAUCUGAGAGGAUGACCGGCCACAUUGGGACUGAGACACGGCCCAAACUCCUACGGGAGGAAGCAGUGGGGAAUAUUGCACAAUGGGGGAAACACUGAUGCAGCGACGCCGCGUGAGUGAAGAAGUAGUUCGGUAUGUAAAGCUCUAUCAGCAGGGAAGAAAAUGACGGUACCUGAGUAAGAAGCCCCGGCUAACUACGUG
rnacentral:rRNA from 1 species